rnacentral:rRNA from 1 species
UACGUAGGGGGCUAGCGUUGUCCGGAAUCAUUGGGCGUAAAGCGCGUGUAGGCGGUCCGGUAAGUCCGCUGUGAAAGUCGGGGGCUCAACCCUCGAAUGCCGGUGGAUACUGUCGGGCUAGAGUGCGGAAGAGGCGAGUGGAAUUCCUGGUGUAGCGGUGAAAUGCGCAGAUAUCAGGAGGAACACCAAUUGCGAAGGCAGCUCGCUGGGACGUUACUGACGCUGGAGACGCGAAAGCGUGGGGAGCAAACAGG